CACGUAGGGGGCAAGCGUUGUCCGGAUUUAUUGGGCGUAAAGAGCUCGUAGGUGGUUCGGUAAGUCAGGUGUGAAACCUCCAGGCUCAACCUGGAGACGCCACUUGAUACUGCUGUGACUGGAGUCCGGUAGGGGAGCGUGGAAUUCCUGGUGUAGCGGUGAAAUGCGCAGAUAUCAGGAGGAACACCAAUAGCGAAGGCAGCUCGCUGGGACGGUACUGACGCUAAGGCGCGAAAGCGUGGGGAGCGAACAGG
rnacentral:rRNA from 1 species